rnacentral:lncRNA from 1 species
CUCCACCUGUAUUAAAUUUACAACUUUGGUUUCGAGGCCCAAAUGAAUUAAUAAGUAAAAUAAAUAAAAUAAAUAAAGACAACAAUACUUAAAUAAAUAAAAUGACAAAUGAGACUUUCACGUCUCUUAGCCGCUUCAAACGUGGGUCUUUAACCUGCCUUUCUUUUUCCAACUCUUCGUAUUCAUAUGCUAUAUUAUUGUCUCCUUAUGGUCUUCGAAAUCGACUCAUGAGGGAUGGGCCCCAAUGGCCCACGUCGAUAAUGCAACAAUGGGAAUAGAGUCCGUUUAGACUCAAAUGUUUCCACAUACAAAAGAAAAGAAGGAAAAAUAAAGUAAUUAAUACAUGUUCAAACUAAUAUUCAAAAAUGCUAAAAUAUCAUGCAUCGUAUUUAACAGAGGGAAAAUAUUAAAUAUAUGAGAUGGGCACAUUAAUUCAGUGAAGUUAAAACUUCAUUCAAAAUUUCAACAUAAGAUAAUUUACCUAUUAGUUAGGGCGCAUUCGAAUAAGCUUACUGAGCGAUAAAAGACCAAAUUUAUGCACAACAUGCAGGAAAAUUUAAUAAAUUAAAUCUACAUUAGGCGUAUUUCCCCUAUCUGCUUAGGCAUAGCAGUUUAUAAUUCUUUAGCGAUUGAGAAACCAAAUUCACAUUAUGUCUAGGUAUACUGAUCCUCAAUUAACACUACAAUCAGAUAAACGGACAAAUUAUUUACUAUCAUAUAAUCACUUAGAUAAUCAAGGAAAUAUUUAGGUGAAGCACAGGCAAAGAUUGACUAGAAAAAUUUCAUUGAAAUAGAUCAAAUCAAGGCUGGUCAAUUUAUAUAGUGUUCUACAAGCAAACAAUUGUAUUGGAUACAGUGCAAGAACAGGAAAUGCACAAAUAAUAUCCAAUCAUAUGAAAAUAUUGUUACUUCGUUAUCCCACAAAAUAAUUCACCGUAAAUAAUGAAGCUUUGAUGCAGAUGAGGAUGAAAAGAACAUUGUCACAGGUGAUUUCAAACAUGAACAACAAUGAAUAGAAAAACUAGCCAACAUUCUGAAAAACCAUAUGUUGAAAAGUAACGUUUUCUUCUUCAUUUAUAGGUGCGGGCAAAUGAAUAAAACCAUGAAUCAACAAACAGAAGCCAACUUAUUAACUAGACUUCGAUUUCAAAUACCCUUUUUAGUUUUCAGCUUCAAACGAAUGUUCAAAUCGAUCCUAAAGAUUAAUAAAGAGAUCAUGUUAAUGAAAGGUAGGUUCCGCAAACAACAAACUCAAUGUGGUCCAUCCAUUCAACGAACCUUACUAAUAACGAGAGCUUAGUUUACAGAGAUGUGAAUCCACCACUAACUAAACAGUAAAAAAGGGGUUCAGAUUUUACCUAAAUUUCAACCUCUAUCUUAAGCAUAUGAGACUUACUAACCAACGCAAGUAGCCAAAUUUUUCCCAUUUAUACAUUUGAAAUUAUGAAAUCGAAAAUUAAUAUUAGUUGAAAAAUUAGCAACUUUACACAUCACAUAUAUGUAUACAUGACCUACACACAAUUGAGUUCAUACAUUUUUAAGCUAUUUACGCAUCUACUUGAAUGAAUGCAAGAUGAAACUACACAAAAUACACUCAAUAUGGUCCGUCUCUUCACUGGAUCCUACACAUACGAAAACUUCGUACACCAACAACUAAAACCGCCCAAAGUUCCAAUCUUUACCUGAAUUUUCAACCUCCAACUUAGGCACAUGAAAAACUUACAAACUAACUCAGCUAGCCAAAAAUUUCCCAGCAAACAUAUUGAUUCAAAUAAAGCGUAAUGACAACUAUCAUGAACGCAACCUAUGACUAUUAAAGCCAUAUACCAGCAAUCAAUCUCAGCACAGAAUGUUACCAAAAAAAGUAAAAAAAAUUAGAUAUCGCUACAGAAAAUUGAGAUGAAGCAGAAAAGAUCGAAGUUUGAAAUGGAGAAGGAAUGUUACCUUUUUGGGAGCAGCAAAACGGGACCAUGAGUUAAUCUUCGGGAUAUUGAUCACCACCGGAACUUCGCCACUACUUCGAUGAUU